rnacentral:rRNA from 1 species
AGUGAACGCUGGCGGUAGGCCUAACACAUGCAAGUCGAACGGCAGCACAGUAAGAGCUUGCUCUUACGGGUGGCGAGUGGCGGACGGGUGCGGAAUACAUCGGAAUCUACUUUUUCGUGGGGGAUAACGUAGGGAAACUUACGCCAAUACCGCAUACGACCUACGGGUGAAAGCAUGGGAUCUUCGGACCUUGCGCGAUUGAAUGAGCCGAUGUCGGAUUAGCUAGUUGGCGGGGUAAAGGCCCACCAAGGCGACGAUCCGUAGCUGGUCUGAGAGGAUGAUAAGCCACACUGGAACUGAGACACGGUCCAGACUCCUACGGGAGGCAGCAGUGGGGAAUAUUGGACAAUGGGCGCAAGCCUGAUCCAGCCAUACCGCGUGGGUGAAGAAGGCCUUCGGGUUGUAAAGCCCUUUUGUUGGGAAAGAAAAGCAGCAGGUUAAUACCCCGCUGUUCUGACGGUACCCAAAGAAUAAGCACCGGCUAACUUCGUG